CAUGCCGUAAACGUUGGGCWCUAGGUGUGGGGACCAUUCCACGGUUUCCGCGCCGCAGCUAACGCAUUAAGUGCCCCGCCUGGGGAGUACGGCCGCAAGGCUAAAACUCAAAGGAAUUGACGGGGGCCCGCACAAGCGGCGGAGCAUGCGGAUUAAUUCGAUGCAACGCGAAGAACCUUACCAAGGCUUGACAUGUUCUCGAUCGCCGUAGAGAUACGGUUUCCCCUUUGGGGCGGGUUCACAGGUGGUGCAUGGUUGUCGUCAGCUCGUGUCGUGAGAUGUUGGGUUAAGUCCCGCAACGAGCGCAACCCUCGUUCCAUGUUGCCAGCACGUCGUGGUGGGGACUCAUGGGAGACUGCCGGGGUCAACUCGGAGGAAGGUGAGGACGACGUCAAAUCAUCAUGCCCCUUAUGUCUUGGGCUUCACGCAUGCUACAAUGGCCGGUACAAUGGGUUGCGAUACUGUGAGGUGGAGCUAAUCCCAAAAAGCCGGUCUCAGUUCGGAUUGGGGUCUGCAACUCGACCCCAUGAAGYCGGAGUCGCUAGUAAUCGCASAUCAGCAACGCUGCGGUGAAUACGUUCCCGGGCCUUGUACACACCGCCCGUCAAGUCACGAAAGUUGGUAACACCCGAAGCCGGYGGCCUAACCCUUGUGGGGGGAGCCGUCGAAGGUGGGACCAGCGAUUGGGACU
rnacentral:rRNA from 1 species